ensembl:lncRNA
AUCACUAGUCACACGAGAGAAGAGGCUGACUGCCAGCUCACUACAGCCUCCCUUCAGGUUUUCUCAAACAUCGUUAAGACAGCAAAGGAGGUGAAGGGACUGAUGUGAUAAAUUGAUGAGAAUUACUAAAAACACCACAGUGCACCAUAAAGAAAACAAUAAGAAAGACAAGAUACAAGUAGAGAAGGACUCUUUUCUCAGAUUUCUUCUGUGAGAGCUCUUUAUUAAAAAGUGGUGAACUGAAAAGGGUGUUGAAAUUGCAAGCAAGAAUACUGCCUCUGGCUUUUUCAUUGUUGCUGCGUUGAGAGAAAAAUGACUUUGUCCUCACUUUUUGUAAAUAAAAAGGACAGUAUCAAAGGUACCUGGCUUCACCAACUCCUUCUCUUGACAGAAAUAAGCUGCAGGACACCAAAAGUUGUGUAAAUGCAGGAGUCAACAAGGGCAGCAAUAUUUAUGCCUCUUCCCUUGGUAUCUGUUUGCAUUUCUGAUAACUUUUUCUAUGUUCUGUCCUUGAAGAAAUGUUAAUGUUUUAAAACAAAGAAUAUUUGAUCAUCCAACUGCUGAUGUUUAACCUCGGAUUAUUUUGUAUCAUAAAAAGCCAGUUCCUUCACAACACUUCUCUUUUCUUGCUUAUGUAUUUGCAUCCCCAAGAAGAUGGAAUGUCCUAGAGAGGACUCCUAUGAAAAGCUCAAGUAUGUUUUACUUCUAAAAGUUAAGACUCCUCCCAAAUAUUCAGGGGGAAGAAAUAUGGCUGCAAAAACACCUAAAUGACAGAAUUACAAAUUAACAAAUUAACAUGUGGUUAGAACUGUUAUUAAAAAAAAGAACAAAAAAAACCCAUGAACUGUAAAUGUUUACUCAACUGCUAGUCAGAGAAAGAACAAAACAUUUUGAAAAAGAAAUAAAAUCAUUCUGUUGCAAGCAUAAAAAGGAGAGGCGCAACUUCUAUAAAAAAGUGUCAAUUUCUAUUAUUAUAGAAUAAUAUAUAAAAGAUAUAUAGAGAAUUUAUAGAUAGAUAAAUUGAAAGAUUUACAGGAGAAAUAAAUCUCCAUGUUUUUCAUAGCAGAUCAAUGUUAAUAUUCCUGUUCAAAUAUAUUUCUAAUUCCCAAUAAUGCUAUUAAAUUCUAUUAAUAGAUAAUUAACUACAACAAAUGAUGUGUAGAAUAUACAUCAUUCCUAUGAGAAUACUCUUUUCUUUUGUUAGAAUAUGUCUCAAAUUGCUUUACUUUGAGACUACCUUGAAUGUGUUUCUAAAUUUCCCUUAGUUUUCUGGGGAGGAGUUGGCAUCUCUACAGGGCAUUUCUGGUCUCCAUCCACUGUUUUUUAAUUCCUUGUUCUAAUUUGGUUGGAGUAUUGAUUUGUAGCUGGGUGGUAGCAACUCAGAUUUUGACUUGCCAACCAGACAUGAUUUAAGCAAAUAAAGUAUCAUGUAUUAUGCUGCCUCACACUGCAUUAUUCUGGUCUAAUGAACGGUUUUGGUGAAAUCUACAAUAAUGUGGAUACUAGGAUACAUCCUGCUGUCCAUGUAUUUGGUGAGAUGCUCUUCGUUUCCACUAGUAUUAAUCUGAAGCAUGUAUAUUAGGAAAGAAUACACCUUUGCCUCAUUCAAGCUUUAAUUUGGAGUAACUGAAAAGUACUUAGUCAUUAAAUACAAAAUUCCUCAUUUUAUGAAACAUUGUUAUUCUUAUUUGGAGGAGAAAAAAAAAAGGAACACGAGAUGUGCUUGUUCUAUGAUUGGACUCCUUUUCUAGUAUUUAUUCUUUUGAGACACUUGUUUUCCUUGACUUCUUGUUCUGUUCUCAAAAGGGUAUGAUAAUCUCACUUUGCUCUCCUACUGCUACUGUUUUCAAGUGGCUGCUGUUGCAAGCAGCCUGCCUGCUGAGGCAUAGUUUACUUAACACCUGAAGCUAUCUUAGGGACCUAAUGUCUAUACAGAAUGCAAACAAUUGUGGAUAUGCCAAUGGAUAUGGAUGAAUUAAACCCAACCCAA